GGCGGGGCAGGUGAAACCCCGUCUGAAUCUACCGGCACCAUCCGGUAAGGCUAAAUACUCCUCAGAGACCGAUAGCGAACGAGUACUGUGAAGGAAAGGUGAAAAGAACCCUGAAUAAGGGAGUGAAAAAGAUCCUGAAACCGUGUGUUUACAAGCGGUCGAAGCCUACGGGCGACGGCGUGCCUUUUGCAUAAUGAUCCUACGAGUUACUCCUCAUUGGCAAGGUUAAGUCUUUCAGGGACGAAUCCGAAGCGAAAGCGAGUCUGAAUAGGGCGACAUAGUCAGUGGGGGUAGACGCGAAACCUUGU
rnacentral:rRNA from 14 species